rnacentral:misc_RNA from 1 species
CAACCCUCAAGCUCUGCUUGGUGAUGGGCGACACUUGCGUGCGCCCCAAAAUCAGCGGCGGUGCUGCCCUGGCUUCCUGCGUAGCAAACUAUCUCGCUACGGAGCCGCGGCGGUGCCUGCCGGAAUCACUAUUAUCAAA